AAUUUCGUUGAGUUGUAACAGUGAAUAUUUGACAUUCAUCCCAAAACACCGAAGACAUGCAGUGAGAGUCGACGAAGCCAGGAUUUGUAAACUGGAUGUGCGCAGUCGCACUAGGGUUUGUGGCCACAACACAGAGGUUCACUCGAGACUCAAGGAGACGUGUGGGCAUCACAACUUGUGCAGCACGCGGUUAGACUCUGUUCAUUACUUUAAAGUCUGAUUCAAGGGAAAACCCAGGAGACAACCGAGACAUCAAUAUUAUUUCAGACUUUAUUCUCUUUACGGAUCAAGAGGGAGCAGUAAAAAUUUCCAAGACCUGGAAGGCAUCCGGAAUUGAGGACCAACAAUGUCUAAAGAAAUAAUAUCCGUGGUAGGCGGUCUGGUUGCAAGUCUAGUGGCUAAAGAAGUCUUCAACUUCACCGGAUCUGGAAUUGCUUGCUGUGGCGGCCUAUGUGGUGUGGUCUGCUGGCUUAUUGGCUACAUUGUUCAAGAGAGUCUUAAACGCAAUUUUUAGACUUAUCCAGUAAGCUCCCCAGUGCCCCACGUAACUGGUUGUUUGAUAAGUUAGACAUAGUAGAAUCACAUAUAUACCCCACUUACCAGGUGUGGCAGUGGAACUAUUGGAGUAGGAAAAGGUGUUGAGGGGAGGUGCUGGUAAAUGUGCCUUUCCAUUUGCGUAUUUCUCACGCCACAUUGUAUUCAUAUGCAAGCAAAAUUAUUUUAUAGAUUCUUCACUGUAAUUAAGGGAAAGUGAAAUGCAAUGGAUAAGGGGGCAAACCAAAAUGUAUUUUUGGAGAGGUAAUCUUCAGUCGAGCUUAUUCUUCGACGAAGUUAUGAAUUAACCGGAUUGGGUUUGGGUGUGCGACUGCAUGACGCACAAGAUGCGUCAUGCACCCGCACGCCCAAGCAUAUACACACAUCAGUGAGAAUGCUGCCUCACGAGUUAAACUAAAUAGAACUGGAAAACGAGGACACCAGCCUUGGACUGUCAUUACAAGUCAGGAAUACCUCCAACGGUCGCAAACUAGCAUCGAUGUUUCUAACAUCCUUAUUCCUUAUUACAGCCUUGGGUAUAAUUUUGAAGAUCGCAUGAGCAAAGGGGCGUCCCCUUUCGAAACUGUUGGACCCUGUUUAAAAUAAAAAUCAUUGCAGUAUUUUUGGGCUAAGACUCGUUGAGUAUAAUUAUAUCCUGCUAAUGUAGAGUAUUUGUGACUUGAAAUACUUCUAUUAGCCUUUUGGUGCAUGGUCGACAUAAUAGGGUGCGCUAUUUUUGAGUAGGUACAGUUUGGAGUAAACCCAAAGGUUGUAUGUCCAAACCAAACAGCGCACCUUUUGUGCCCGCCUUCCGCAAAUGGGCUAAUGACUGCUAUACGGCGUAGCUUUAAGUUUGUACACGUAGAUAGGCUGAAUUUGGGUGCUGUGACUGCAGCUGGAAAAGCGUCUAUGAUAGCAACAGCCAAGCUGCUGCAUCCACUUCCCAGGCACGUGUUACAUAUCACCACAACUGAGCAUAUCCGCCUUGCGCAGAAGCAUCCCCUGAUCAGCUGAAAAGAGCCAUGUUAGUUGGGAGCGUUUGUUUCUGUUGAUAAGCGAUUGGUACAGUUCACUAAUUCUUGUUACUUUCUGGCCAGCUCAUUACCAUGAAAAGUGCCCUGCAGUAUCUUUUGCACAAGUAGAUUAGUUGGCACCCAAAAUGGUGAGAUUAUGUAAAUGUGUGACAGGAUCAACGUCCUGCUUCUUUGGGCUUCCAUCUGAUAGCUGAAUGGAUAAAAAGCGGUUGGAAAAUUGUCCUUAAAGCUCGAGAAAACUGAGCCAUUGGUAUGCCAUUUGAAAAUGGCUGCAUGUAGAUUACGAAACUAUUACUAUUCGGUGUGAUUUUGUGCGUAUGAAUAAUUACAAAUAAAACUCGCUAACCUACCAAAAAUGCAAAUAAUUUGAAAUAUUAAGGACUAAAUGAUAUUUGAAACUAAGGUACGUGGGCUUGAAAAUUAUUUGUCAGUGAACAAUACUGAUUUAACUCUGUUUUCAAUGGGCACCUUCGAGUUGUAGUGACCGUUUAACGGGGGAUUUUCUUGUUUGUGAACCAGUGAAAAUGCAGUGUUCCCACCAUGUCAAUGGCUUGUACAAUAUCAAGUUCGAAAUGUUAUUUAGUUCCCCUUGUUCAUAUUUCGGGGCUUGUUUUCAAUCUUGAAUUACCUUUCAGAUCUCAAACAUUGAGUUAGUUUUCAAGAGAGAAUGGGAUGUAUAACAGAUAUUCUAGUUCUCAAGAAUCUGUUUUACAUACAGUAAUAGAUGCUGUGAUGUCUCAGUUAGUGAUGCCUUAGACUAUAAUUAUAAUCUAACUAGCUAGAUAAAGGCUUGUCAAGCAAAAGCAAAAGUGUGACCAUAUGAAUGAUUAUACAAAAAUAUAAUUCGUAGCUUGAGGCGUUAACUGUGAGGCAAAGCAACAUCCAUAAUGAAAUUGAACCUUACACCGUGCUUAGGCGUUGCAUAUGAACCUUGUGCAAUGUAAGAUUUUAUAUACAUCCUCGUAUAACCUUGAAUACAAUUUUUGUCCCCUGGAAUUACUCUGCCGCUAAUUCAAAUCAGAUGAAAUCUGAUAUUUGGGAGAUAAUUUGGAUUUCGGUAUUUCACAACAGCUUUAAUUGGCAUAUGACAACAGAUCGAGAACAAGGUUUUGUCAUAACCGUCUGUAAUGACGGUAUAAAGGAACUUUUUUCACUUAGAUAACUAGAAAAUAACAUUACAGCUGCAGAAAAUGUUUCCACUUAAAUUUCUAUGACCCCUCUCUUAGGCUUACGCACAGUCGUAUAAUAUAACUCUCACCCCAAAGUCCACCCUGCGUCGAUGUCCCCCCCCCCAACACACACACCGCUUUUUGUACUUCCAAGCUAAUCUACUAUUGUAUCUCGCCACAGACAAAUGCACUGUAUAGAAGACUUCUAAACGCAAAUAUUUGACACCUUUUAAACAUUUUGACACCAAUAUAAACACAUACCACAUGUUUAUAUGCUGAACACGCGGAUUUUAUUUGAUAAACGCAACGCAAACGCAAGGAAGCAAGUGGUGACGUAUUUUGCUUGCGCGCUGUUUGCCUGCGAACGCUUAUAGCUCGAGUAAAUAUCCAUGAACAAAAACGACCGUUUGUGUGCUAUAAGGUAUUUAAAGCAAUGACAACACACGCUGGCCGUUUGCGUUUGGUCGACCAACUGCGAAGUGUGCAUGCUUCGGUCCAUCCAUGGAGCAAUUAAAGUGGAAUAAAUUGCAACGUUGGUGGCGCAACCCCGCUCCUCCGUCUCGGCGCUGCAGAGAGAGUAGCGCCAACUUCCAACUUCGGAACCCAAAUGGCUUUUUCAUUUUGCGUGUUGUACAGCGUUUAGCUAUUGUGUGCUUAUUUUCCUAUGUGCACUUCCGCAAAAUCUACCAUUUUGAUUCCAAACAAUGUCACAACCCUCUCUAUAAACAGGUCUGAUCCACCAUGCACUGCUCUUUAGGGGAAAACCUGUAUGUGAUGAAAUGUGUGAGACGACUGAUGUAUACACAGUCAACGUUCAUUACAGGAGGCAUUGGUAUAAGUAGGCUAGAUCAUCACAAUUAA
rnacentral:lncRNA from 1 species